CUACGGCUGGACCGGCGUGGUCUACCCGCUGGUGCUGGGCGCGGUGUCGAUCGUGGCGUCGGUGGUGGGC
rnacentral:tRNA from 1 species